AACGAACGCUGGCGGCAGGCCUAACACAUGCAAGUCGAGCGCCCCGCAAGGGGAGCGGCGGACGGGUGAGUAACACGUGGGAAUUUUCCUCAAGGUACGGAACAACUCAGGGAAACUCGGGCUAAUACCGUAUGAUGCAGAGAUGCCAAAGAUUUAUCGCCUUGGGAUAAGCCCGCGUCAGAUUAGGUAGUUGGUGGGGUAACGGGCUACCAAGCCGGUGAUCUGUAGCUGGUCUGAGAGGACGAUCAGCCACAUUGGGACUGAGACACGGCCCAAACUCCUACGGGAGGCAGCAGUGGGGAAUCUUGCGCAAUGGACGAAAGUCUGACGCAGCCAUGCCGCGUGAAUGAUGAAGGUCUUAGGGUUGUAAAGUUCUUUAGCCUGUGACGAUGAUGACGGUAACAGGAGAAUAAGCCCCGGCUAACUUCGUGCCAGCCGCCGCGGUAAUAC
rnacentral:rRNA from 1 species